rnacentral:rRNA from 1 species
CAAUAGCGUAUACUAAAGUUGUUGCAGUUAAAAGCUCGUAGUUGUAUUUCUGGUCGUGGAUGCCGGUCCGCCUCUAACGAGGUGCGCACCUGGUGUCUGUGUCCAUCCUCGGGGAGAGCAUGUCUGGCAUUCAGUUGUCGGGCAUGGGAUCCUCGUCAUUUACUGUGAGCAAAAUAGAGUGUUCAAAGCAGGCUUAGGCCGUUGAAUACAUUAGCAUGGAAUAAUAAGAUAGGACCUUGGUCUAUUUUGUUGGUUUACAUUCCAAGGUAAUGAUUAAUAGGGAUAGUUGGGGGUAUUCGUAUUCAAUUGUCAGAGGUGAAAUUCUUGGAUUUAUGGAAGACGAACAACUGCGAAAGCAUUUACCAAGGAUGUUUUCAUUAAUCAAGAACGAAAGUUAGGGGAUCGAAGAUGAUUAGAUACCAU